CAUGUAGUUGUAUCUAGUUAAUAAAGAGUUAUGUUAAGAAACAUCCUGUAGUUCUGCGUUUUAUUAUUUUGUACAAAGCGUACAAAACAAGACAUGGUGUCAGAAGUGGGAUACGGCGGUAAAAUGCAUCCAAUUAUAAUUCAGUAUGUAUUCACAUAUGAAUAUUACAGAAACAUGGGCAAAUUGGAGCACAGAUGGAUUUAUUUACUUAUUUAGACAAGACAACACACUGCUGAGUUGUACGAAUUGGACCACGUCCCCAAAAUAUAAGAAAUAAGAUAAAUUAUUGUCAUAACUUUUUUAUUAUUAAAUGGAAGCAAAUUUAAUUUUAAAACGAAAUCGGAACAGGGGUUGUGAAAGGUGUAAAAAAAAAUGUGCAGACUACAGUAACAAUGACAGCUAUAUUCAGAAAAAAAGUGUAUAGUUAGGUAAUUGACCGGUAGAUCAUGUUAAAAUAGGCUUCUUUCACGCGUCCGGGUUUGUACACCGGAAGUUUAACAAAGCCACUUUAUUUAUGUUCCGUCGCUAGCAACAGCGCAGAGUUAGCAAGCUAGCAUAAUGGCGACAAAAUCCUCUCGCCGAUGUUACUGUAGUGCCCCUUUUUGCUCCAACAACAAACAAAAACACCCAUUCCUCAGCGUUCACAACUUCCCAAAGGAUGCGACUUUGAGUGACAGCUGGGUGAGAGAAAUUAGAAGAGAUGAGGGCCCUGACUAAACUACUUUACGUGGGAGCACCUUCGUCUGUAGCCCGCAUUUUAGCUCUACCAACAUUCUACUUAACACCAAAAGGCCUUGCUAGCAUUAAGACAGGGAACGACUGGUCGAAGAGCCUGUAGUCUCGAUAUCUCCUUUUGAUCGCGCAUGUGCUCGACUAAGAACAGGAGGUGGAUGUCAGCUAUGGACACAAGUGGUGAUGGUAACUUCACUGAUUGCAGCUGACUAUGACUAUGCCUGCACUCCUCUCCCUGUAGCAGUGAUCGGGCGGGUCGCUCAGGUCUGACCAGCAUCAAGAGCUGUCUGGAAGAGGGUCUGGAGCCCACCUGCUUUGAGAGCAUUGAUGACAUUGGGGGGCUUUUUAAGGCCUGGGACCAGAGACCGAGAUAUACAGUACAUUUGCAGAUUUGUUCAGGCCAUCAUGAUGGUUGCCAUGUUGGCACAAAUAGUACAAAGACAUAUCAUUAUUGUUUUGGUAUCCCAUUGGUAGUUAGUCUUGUCCCAUCGCUGCAACUCCCGUACGGACUCGGGAGAGGCAAAGGUUGAGAGCCGUGCGUCCUCCAAAACACAACCCAGCUGAGCCGCACUGUAUCUUGACACAAUGCUUCUUAACCCGUAAGCCAGCUGCACCAAUGUGACGGAGGAAACACCGUACACCUGGUGACCGUGUCAGCGUGCAUUGCACCCGGCCUGCCACAGGAGUUGCUAGAGCGCGAUGGGACAAGAACAUCCCUGCCGGCCAAACAUCCUUGCCUGGCCUGGCUGUUCUUCACUGUUCAAGAGGGUUCUGUGGGGUCCUGUCACCGCCUACCAGUACAGUAUCACCAGCCCAGGGCACGCCGCGCCAUCUUCACCCAGUUUGAAUGCAUGUUCUAGCCCUUCAAGACCAGACAGGUGACAUGUACUUCAGAAAUAUUCACACUAAACAUGCAGGUAACUGACAAAAUAAAGGAAACACCAACAUAAAGUGUAUUAAUAGGGAGUUGGGCCACCACGAGCCAGAACAGCUUCAAUGCACCUUGGCAUAGAUUCUACAAGUGUCUGGAACUCUAAGAAAUUCCAUCAUUUGGUGUUUUGUUGAUGGUUUCUGUGUGAAAAGAAACAUUUAUAAAUACGUUAUUCCCUGCU